rnacentral:rRNA from 1 species
UAGGGAAUCUUCGGCAAUGGACGAAAGUCUGACCGAGCAACGCCGCGUGAGUGAAGAAGGUUUUCGGAUCGUAAAACUCUGUUGUUAGAGAAGAACAAGGACGUUAGUAACUGAACGUCCCCUGACGGUAUCUAACCAGAAAGCCACGGCUAACUACGUGCCAGCAGCCGCGGUCAUACGUAGGUGGCAAGCGUUGUCCGGAUUUAUUGGGCGUAAAGCGAGCGCAGGCGGUUUCUUAAGUCUGAUGUGAAAGCCCCCGGCUCAACCGGGGAGGGUCAUUGGAAACUGGGAGACUUGAGUGCAGAAGAGGAGAGUGGAAUUCCAUGUGUAGCGGUGAAAUGCGUAGAUAUAUGGAGGAAAACCAGUGGCGAAGGCGGCUCUCUGGUCUGUAACUGACGCUGAGGCUCGAAAGCGUGGGGAGCAAACAGG